rnacentral:rRNA from 1 species
AGUGAACGCUGGCGGUAGGCCUAACACAUGCAAGUCGAACGGCAGCACAGUAAGAGCUUGCUCUUACGGGUGGCGAGUGGAGGACGGGUGAGGAAUACAUCGGAAUCUACUUUUUCGUGGGGGAUAACGUAGGGAAACUUACGCUAAUACCGCAUACGACCUACGGGUGAAAGCAGGGGAUCUUCGGAACUUGCGCGAUUGAAUGAGCCGAUGUCGGAUUAGCUAGUUGGCGGGGUAAAGGCCCACCAAGGCGACGAUCCGUAGCUGGUCUGAGAGGAUGAUCAGCCACACUGGAACUGAGACACGGUCCAGACUCCUACGGGAGGCAGCAGUGGGGAAUAUUGGACAAGGGGCGCAAGCCUGAUCCAGCCAUACCGCGUGGGUGAAGAAGGCCUUCGGGUUGUAAAGCCCUUUUGUUGGGAAAGAAAAGCAGCAGGUUAAUACCCCGCUGUUCUGACGGUACCCAAAGAAUAAGCACCGGCUAACUUCGUG